rnacentral:misc_RNA from 1 species
GAUGAAGAACGUAGCGAAAUGCGAUAAGUAAUGUGAAUUGCAGAAUUCAGUGAAUCAUCGAAUCUUUGAACGCACCUUGCGCCCUUUGGCUAUUCCGAAGGGCAUGCCUGUUUGAGUAUCAUGAACACCUCAACUCUCAUGGUUUGCCAUGAUGAGCUUGGACUUUGGGGGUCUUGCCGGCCUAUGGGUCGGCUCCUCUCAAAUUAAUCAGCUUGCCAGUGUUUGGUGGCAUCACAGGUGUGAUAACUAUCUACGCUUGUGGUUUUCCAUCAGGUAACCUUCAGUGAUGGAGGUUCGCUGGGGCUCAUAAAUGUCUCUCCUCAGUGAGGACAGCUUUUUUUAACGUUUGAUCUCAAAUCAGGUAGGACUACCCGCUGAACUUAAGCAUAUCAAUAAGCGGAGGA